rnacentral:rRNA from 1 species
AAUCAACGCUGGCGGCGUGCCUCAGACAUGCAAGUCGAACGAUUAAAGCUCUCUUCGGAGAGUGCAUAGAGUGGCGCACGGGUGAGUAACACGUAAGUAAUCUACCCUCGAGUGGGGAAUAACGUCCGGAAACGGGCGCUAAUACCGCAUAAUGCAGCGGCAUCACAAGAUGACAGUUGUUAAAGAUUUAUCGCUUGAGGAGGAGCUUGCGGCAGAUUGGCUAGUUGGUAAGGUAACGGCUUACCAAGGCUACGAUCUGUAACCGGUCUUAGAGGACGGUCGGUCACACUGACACUGAAUAACGGGUCAGACUCCUACGGGAGGCAGCAGUCGGGAAUUUUGGGCAAUGGGCGAAAGCCUGACCCAGCAACGCCGCGUGAAGGAUGAAGUAUUUCGGUAUGUAAACUUCGAAAGAAUAGGAAGAACUAAUGACGGUACUAUUUAUAAGGUCCGGCUAACUACGUGCCAGCAGCCGCAGUAA